CCCUUAGACACUCUAGGCGGCACGCGCGCUACAAUGGGUGGAAGAACGUGUUACUGCCUCCGAAAGGAGGGGUGAAUCACGAAUUCUUGCCCGUGAAUGGGAUAGUUUGUUGCAAUUUUCGGACUUGAACUAGGAAUCCCUUGUAAACAUGCUCAAGAAUAGCGUGUUGAAUACGUCCCUGCCGUUUGUACACACCGCCCGUCGUUUCUUCCGACUGAUACUCAUUGUGAGUUGCAAGGACCCUUUAUUGGGAAAUUGCUGCAAAUGCUUUGUAUUGGAGGAAGGAAAAGUCGUAACA
rnacentral:rRNA from 1 species